rnacentral:rRNA from 1 species
UACUAAUGCAACUGCGAAUAGCUGUUUAAUACAGUCGCAUUUGUCUUGACUUAGCAUAUAUAAAAAUAUCAAUAUAAUUUAUUAUAUUUGGAUAACUAAGGGAAAGUUUGGCUAAUACGUACAAUAAUACAAUAUAUACAAUAAUACAAUUAAUGUAUAUAUGAAAAUAUAUAGCUUAGCAAAUAGUGAAUAUGCAUCAUGAUUGACACUAUUUAAGUAUUAUAAUAUAAUUUUUAAUUAUAUUAUAUAACAGAGCAGACUUUAUAAUAAUUAUUUUAUUAUGAAGCAUGUCAUACAAGCAUCUAUAGCAUCAAGUCACACUGUUGGCAUGUGUAUUAUUGAACCUUCAAAGCAAUAACGCAUACGGAAGAGUAGUUUCUGAUCCCAUAGAAGGAGCACUGUACAAUGAGAGACCGCUCUUAGUUCUAAGGAACGCAGCAGGCGCGUAAAUUGCCCAAUGAUAAAACAUGCAAAAUAAUUUAAAAAACAUAUAUUUUAAAAUAUAUGAUAAUAGUAACCUUGUUACAUAUUGUUCUCUUUUGAGGCAGUGACAAGCUGUAAAGAUUCACUAUUGUUUUAAGAUAUCAUUUGGAAUUGUCGCUAUUAUAUAUUUAUUUAUAUAAUAGCUUGAUAAUAUACCAAUGAUAUGAUAUAGUGAAUUUGAAUGCGGUGAUUGUAAUAAUUUCAAGUAACAUGAUUAAAUAUUUAGUUAUUUAAUUGUUAUCUGAACUUUCAAGUGGAGGGCAAGUCUGGUGCCAGCAGCCGCGGUAAUACCAGCUCCACUAGCCUAUACAAUCAUUGUUGCGGUUAAGAGGCUCGUAGUUGGAUUGAAAAUAAUUUAUAAUUUUUAUAAUAUAAUAAAUAUAAUAUUUUAUUAUAAUAAAAAUUUCAAUACUGUGAACAAACCAGCGUGUUUAAAACAUGUAAUAUAAUUUAUAUUAUGCAUUGAAUGUUUCAUCAUGGAAUAUUGCAAUCUUAAUAUAUUUUAAUAUUUAAUAACAGUAUAAUAUAUGUCGAUGGAGAUAGUUGGAGUUGAAAGUACUGAUAAGCGAGCGGUGAAAUGCUUUGACCUUAUUAAGACUAACAAAAGCGAAAGCAUUUAACUAGAUUAUACUCUUUGUAUUUCAAAAUAAUAUUACUAUAUAUAAUAAUAUUAUUAGAAAUAAUUUUUACAAUGAAGAGCGAAGGUUAGGGGAACAAAGAGGAUCAGAUACCCUCGUCGUCCUAUUUAUACAUCAAACGAUGGGAUUUCAAUUGAAUAUUUUAUUUCAAUUAAUUAUUUAAUAUAAUUUUUAAAUAUAUUGUUCCUUUGACUAUUAUUAAUAUUUAAAUGGUUGAGUCUAUUUUGACUCCUAUUUUAUAUUAUUUAAUUUUCAAUUAAAUAUAUUUUAAUAUUUCUAUAUUAUUAAUUAUACUUAUAUAUAUAAAACUAUUUAUUACUUUAUGUGAUAAUAUUUUAUAUUGAUUAUAUGUACUUUGCGCUCAAAUAAUAUAGGUGAGAUGUAAGCAUUAUUACUCUUCAAUAUAUAUUUUAUAAAUUUUUAUAAUUCAUACUAUAUAUUAUUGUUGGGUAUAAUUUUAAAAUGUAAUGUGAUGCACGUUUUAGGUACGAGCUUACUAUAGAAAUAUUUAAAAUAAUACCCUCCUGGGGAAGUAUGCACGCAAGUGUGAAACUUGAAGGAAUUGACGGAAGGGCACCACAAGAACGCGUGGAGCAUGUGGCUUAAUUUGACUCAACGCGGGAAAUCUUACCAGGUCCAGACAUAUUGAGGAUUGACAGGUGAUCACUAAUAUAUUUAUAUAUUAGUACAAAUAUGAUAGUCCUUUCAUGAUUAUAUGAUAGGUGGUGCAUGGCCGUUCUUAGUUCGUGGAGUGAUCUGUCUGCUUAAUUGCGUUUCANAUAAUAAUAAAUAAUAUUAUUCAUUAUAUUAUUUUAAGUGUUCUGCCUUUUUAAGGAUUGUGAACUCAAAUAUAUUGGAUUUAUAAUAUUAAUAAUUGAAUGCAACGAACGUGACUAUAACCCUUUAUUGCUUUAUAUUAUUUAUUUAAUAAAGCUUAAAAUUAAGGGAACCGCUGUCUAAUAUUUAGUUUUAAAACAGAGGAAGAUUAUGGCAAUAACAGGUCUGUGAUGCCCUCAGAUGUUCUGGGCUGCACACGUGCUACAAUAAUUACUAUAAUUAGUGUCUACUUUUUCAUGUAAUAACUAUAUCAAUUUAUUGAUUUAGUUAUUUUACAUUAACCUAUUUCGAAAGUGAAUGGGUAAUCAUUUGAAAAUCGUGAUUAUUUCGUUAUACUACAUUUUAUAAGUUAUAAAUUUUCUAUUAUGCUUGCAUUUUAGUUGUUUAUAACUGUAGUAUUAAUUAAUUUAGGGUGGGGAUAGUGAAUUGUUAAUUAUUUCACUUGGCCUUAACUAGGAAUGCCUUGUACUGUUCCUUGGUUCAUCAUACCAACAGGAAUACGUCCCUGCCCUUUGUACACACCGCCCGUCGCUCUUACCGAUGAAUUAUAUUAUAAAUCUAAGGGACUUAAAAUAUGUUUUAAACAUAUUUCGGAAACUUAUAUGCAUAAUGUGAUUUAAAGGAAAGAGAAGUCGUAACAAGGCAUCAGUAGGUGAACCU